UUUUCAGCUUUAGAUCGAGGUCAGAAGCUGUCACAAAAACGUAAAUUCUAUGAUGGGUCGUAUGCAUCUCAUUCAUGGUGGUCUAGUUUACGAACACAUGAAAAGGACAAUUUUCUGAUUAACGUCAGCUUUGAGUUUAGGAUAUAUUCCAGACAUCUUAGUUGCCCUUACUUAUUUUUGGAGACAUUUCUCUCAGCCAUUAAUGAAGCAAU
rfam:Equus caballus chromosome 4, whole genome shotgun sequence.